AACGAACGCUGGCGGCAUGCCUAACACAUGCAAGUCGAACGAGGCCUUCGGGUCUAGUGGCGCACGGGUGCGUAACGCGUGGGAACCCGCCCUUAGGUUCGGAAUAACUCCCCGAAAGGGGAGCUAAUACCGGAUAAUGUCUUCGGACCAAAGAUUUAUCGCCUUUGGAUGGGCCCGCGUUGGAUUAGCUAGUUGGUAGGGUAAAAGCCUACCAAGGCGACGAUCCAUAGCUGGUCUGAGAGGAUGAUCAGCCACACUGGGACUGAGACACGGCCCAGACUCCUACGGGAGGCAGCAGUGGGGAAUAUUGGACAAUGGGCGAAAGCCUGAUCCAGCAAUGCCGCGUGAGUGAUGAAGGCCUUAGGGUUGUAAAGCUCUUUUACCCGGGAUGAUAAUGACAGUACCGGGAGAAUAAGCUCCGGCUAACUCCGUG
rnacentral:rRNA from 1 species